rnacentral:rRNA from 1 species
AGGCAGCAGUGGGGGAUAUUGCACAAUGGGGGGAACCCUGAUGCAGCGACGCCGCGUGGGUGAAGAAGCGCCUCGGCGCGUAAAGCCCUGUCAGCAGGGAAGAAAAUGACGGUACCUGAAGAAGAAGCCCGGCUAACUACGUGCC